rnacentral:rRNA from 1 species
AUUGAGUGCUUGCACUCUUUGGACGUCGACCGGCGCACGGGUGAGUAACGCGUAUCCAACCUUCCCAUUACUGUGGGAUAACCUGCCGAAAGGCAGACUAAUACCGCAUAGUCUUCGAUGACGGCAUCAGAUUUGAAGUAAAGAUUUAUCGGUAAUGGAUGGGGAUGCGUCUGAUUAGCUUGUUGGCGGGGUAACGGCCCACCAAGGCAACGAUCAGUAGGGGUUCUGAGAGGAAGGUCCCCCACAUUGGAACUGAGACACGGUCCAAACUCCUACGGGAGGCAGCAGUGAGGAAUAUUGGUCAAUGGACGGAAGUCUGAACCAGCCAAGUAGCGUGCAGGAUGACGGCCCUAUGGGUUGUAAACUGCUUUUGUAUGGGGAUAAAGUUAGGGACGUGUCCCUAUUGCAGUACCAUACGAAUAAGGACCG